GGAAGUAAAAGUCGUAACAAGGUUUCCGUAGGUGAACCUGCGGAAGGAUCAUUAUUGAAUAAACUUGAACAGGCUGUUGCUGACCCUCUCUGGGUGGGGGGUAAGUGCACGCUUGUCAUCUUUGUUUCUCCAACUGUGCACAUAUUGUAGAUCCUGGAGUUCUUGUUGAUUUGUUUCGAGUUGGGACUGCUGUGCUUUCAGCUUUGCCUUGAAGAUCUUCCAGGUCUAUGUCAUUUUCACAACCUCUUGAAUGCAUACAGAAUGUCGAAUCAGGUCCUUUUUGUACCUAUAAAGUUAAAUAUACAACUUUCAGCAACGGAUCUCUUGGCUCUCGCAUCGAUGAAGAACGCAGCGAAAUGCGAUAAGUAAUGUGAAUUGCAGAAUUCAGUGAAUCAUCGAAUCUUUGAACGCAUCUUGCGCUCCUUGGUAUUCUGAGGAGCAUGCCUGUUUGAGUGUCAUUUCAAGUUCUCAACCACAUCGAUUUUGAUGUGGCUUGGAUGGUGGGGGUUCUUUUUUGCAGGCUUCUGUAAAUAUGAAGUCGGCUCCCCUGAAAUGUAUUAGUGGUAAUCUGAGCUACUACAGGUGUGAUAAUUAUCUAUGCCUUGGUAUGCUGCAUGCACUGCUUCUAACGAGUGGGAAACACAAUUUUGAUGAAUUUGACCUCAAAUCAGGUAGGACUACCCGCUGAACUUAAGCAUAUCA
rnacentral:rRNA from 1 species